rnacentral:rRNA from 1 species
GGGGGCCCGCAAGCGGUGGAGCAUGUGGCUUAAUUCGAUGCAACGCGAAGAACCUUACCCAGGCUUGACAUGUAUCUGCAAGCUCCCGAAACAGAGUCGCCUUCGAGGGUGAUACACAGGUGGUGCAUGGCUGUCGUCAGCUCGUGUUGUGAAAUGUUGGGUUAAGUCCCGCAACGAGCGCAACCCUCACGUUUUGUUACCAGCGGAUAAUGCCGGGGACUCGAGACGAACUGCCUCUGUAAAGAGGAGGAAGGUGGGGAUGACGUCAAGUCAUCAUGCCCCUUACGCCUGGGGCUGCACACAUGCUACAAUGGCCGGUACAAAGGGUUGCUAACUCGCAAGAGGGUGCUAAUCCCAAAAAGCCGGUCUCAGUUCGGAUUGGGGUCUGCAACUCGACCCCAUGAAGCUGGAAUCGCUAGUAAACGCCGGUCAGCCAUACGGCGUUGAAUACGUUCCCGGGCCUUGCACACACC